GAUGAACGCUAGCUACAGGCUUAACACAUGCAAGUCGAGGGGAAACGAUAUUGGAAGCUUGCUUCCGAUAGGCGUCGACCGGCGCACGGGUGAGUAACGCGUAUCCAACCUGCCCACCACUUGGGGAUAACCUUGCGAAAGUAAGACUAUUACCCAACGACGUCCAUAGAAGACAUCGUAAAUGGAGUCAAGAUUUAUUGGUGAUGGAUGGGGAUGCGUCGGAUUAGCUUGUUUGCGGGGUAACGGCCCACCAGGGCGACGAUCAGUAGGGGUUCUGAGAGGAAGGUCCCCCACAUUGGAACUGAGACACGGUCCAAACUCCUACGGGAGGCAGCAGUGAGGAAUAUUGGUCAAUGGGCGAGAGCCUGAACCAGCCAAGUAGCGUGCAGGAUGACGGCCCUAUGGGUUGUAAACUGCUUUUAUAAGGGAAUAAAGUGAGCCUCGUGAGGCUUUUUGCAUGUACCUUAUGAAUAAGGACCGGCUAAUUCCGUGCCAGCCGCCGCAGUAA
rnacentral:rRNA from 1 species